ensembl:lncRNA LINC02613 long intergenic non-protein coding RNA 2613
AGCUGUGUCCUGGCUCAGACGGACAGCUCUGACUCGCUCGCUCUUUCUCUGGGCGCCUGCGCGCCUACCAUGACAAGCCAUUUCAGGCGAGCCGAGCCCCAGAGCCAUGUGUCUGGUGCGCAGUGUUAACAGGGCAGUUAUACCUUUUACAGACAACUGUGGCUCCAAGUCAAGUAUGAACUUACACAAACAGUUUAUAUAACAAGUGGAGGUGUGCGCCUGCGUGCCAAACUUGCUGACUCGUGCAGGCCUGGAUACCCGCCUCAGACUAUUCCUUGACCGAAGCACUUCCAGGGCAGGAAACUGAAGCUCUUGGGAAGGUGGAAGUUGCACGUGGUCUCACAGUCAACUGUGCCAGAAUAGGAGGCCAGGAACCAUCUCUGCUGGAGGAAGACCCACCACGCAUCCCUUCAAGAAUGCCAAGGUCCAGAGCAAGUGCUUCCCUUCUAUGGGCACAGGAGGGCUGUGGGAGCCCACAGAAUGUGCUUCUGGCCAGAGUGGGAUCCCCGAGGAAGAUGUUAAGACCUCUAAUAAUAUUUAAGAGCAAAAUUAGCACAGCUCCAGCCCAUGGGCAAGUUAAGAGACAGGAGUAGUGUCUGUGGAGUGGAGGAAAGCAGAGGCUGCCGCUGACCAUCCUGCAGCCCUCGCUCUGGCUGCUCACAGCUCUCCACCUUCUCUGGACUUCGUCACUUCAGUAUGUGAAACAACCAUUUCAACCAGCUUGGACAAAAGAGAGAAGCCAAGAUGGGGCUGAGAAACCAAUGCAGGCAGGCCCAGGGACCCAGGAGUCAGGGACCAGGUGCUACCAGAUGCUUGCUCCGACUCGUGUUGCUGCUGUCUUCUCUGUGCCUCAACUCUGUCCUCUGUCACUGCAGGCAGCUUCCUCCCAAGGUGAUCUCCAUGGGAUAACCACAUUGGUUUGUUUAGUAAACACUGAGACCAACUCCACCAUCCAGAGGCCUGACAGACAAAUGGCCUGAGACAGGGCUGGGAAAGUUUUGCUUCUGGUUGGGACUUCAGGAAGAGUUUUGUUUUGUUUUGUUUUCCCCCAAGGGAACAAGCCCUUGAAUCCGGGAGGCCAAGGUUGCGGUGAACCGAGAUUGCGCCAUUGCACUCCAGCCUGGGCAACAAGAGCGAAACUCCGUCUCAAAAACAUAAAAAGUAAAAAA